rnacentral:rRNA from 1 species
AAUUUUGGACAAUGGGGGCAACCCUGAUCCAGCCAUCCCGCGUGUGCGAUGAAGGCCUUCGGGUUNUCAAGCUCUUUCACCGGUGANGAUAAUGACGGUAACCGGAGAAGAAGCCCCGGCUAACUUCGUGCCAGCAGCCGCGGUAAUACGAAGGGGGCUAGCGUUGUUCGGAAUUACUGGGCGUAAAGCGCACGUAGGCGGAUUAUUAAGUCAGGGGUGAAAUCCCGCAGCUCAACUGCGGAACUGCCUUUGAUACUGGUAAUCUAGAGACCGAGAGAGGUAAGUGGAACUCCUAGUGUAGAGGUGGAAUUCGUAGAUAUUAGGAAGAACACCAGUGGCGAAGGCGGCUUACUGGCUCGGAACUGACGCUGAGGUGCGAAAGCGUGGGGAGCAAAC